CCCCGUCCAGAUCUGCCUCUCGUGGCCUGGAGAGCUCGCCCACGACUCCGGCGCGGCGCUGGCGAGUCUGUUCCGCUCUCUCCAACGCCCACCAGAAGUCCCACGGGCGGCUCUGCCUCGUUGACGGUGCUGCUGCACGCGGCGGCUGUGUGGUGGACACACGUAGCAGCCAUCGCCUAUGCUCUCCCGCCCUCUUCGAUGAGGUGACGUCUCCCUGCUCUUUCCACGGCAUGACGGCAGUGCACUGCAUCGUCUAAAGCACCCCCAUGGUGAGCCAUCUCCACUCCUCUAUUCCCCCGGCUGCUGCCAUGCACAUCGUCUAAAGCACCCCCAUGUUCAUGGCAGUUGUUUUGUCAUUUUGAUUCAAUUACCUGUAGGUUGGGGUUAUUGAUUUGUGUCAAUGUUGGUUCGACCGGCCAUUUGUCGGUCAAGCAAUAACAAAUACAGAAAUGGGCAAUGCUCUCAUAUAUAUGUUUCUUGAAAGCUAUCUAGUGGUAACCAUCUCAUAUGUUUGAUGUUUCAACUCGCAGCCUGCUCGGUGGAAUGGCCUGAAAAAAUUUCUGUUGUACAGAGGAACCUCAUUAGUCGUAUAUACUUUGAUGCGCUUACCAUAGUGUUGCUGAAACUGUGUUCUUCCGUGGUAUUUGAAACAGAGUUCCUAAUCUUUUUUUUCUGAGGAGAGAAAUGCAGAGCAUCUCGUUGCUGCCCACACUUUGCUUUUUUC